UCCGGGGGGGGCAAGCGUUGUUCGGAAUUACUGGGCGUAAAGGGCUCGUAGGCGGCCAACUAAGUCAGACGUGAAAUCCCUCGGCUUAACCGGGGAACUGCGUCUGAUACUGGAUGGCUUGAAUCCGGGAGAGGGAUGCGGAAUUCCAGGUGUAGCGGUGAAAUGCGUAGAUAUCUGGAGGAACACCGGUGGCGAAGGCGGCAUCCUGGACCGGCAUUGACGCUGAUGAGCGAAAGCCAGGGGAGCAAACGGG
rnacentral:rRNA from 1 species